rnacentral:tRNA from 1 species
GUCGGGCUCAUAACCCGAAGGUCACAGGUUCAAAUCCUGUCCCCGCAACCA